GUAUUCCCAGGGAGAGAAUCUACAGGAAGCCUGUUCUAUGCAUUUAUAUGUCACCCAGGUACCACCUAUCAUGGGUUUUUGUGUAUAGUGUAUGUGCAUACAUACAUCCCAUGUGGGUACAGAUGCGCAUGCAUGUGUAUGGAAGCUGGAGCUGCUGUCUUCCUCAGUUUCUUUGCACACCAUCCUUUGAGACUAUCUUACUACCAGAAUGGCUGGGUGCUGAGUCAAUCAACAGUGGGACCCUGCUCUCCCACCCUGAGGUUACAGCUGCUGGCAGUGGCUGUGGGCAUUAGAUUAUGUGUGGGUGAAAGGCAACUGAAAUUCAGGGCCCUCAGGUAACCAUCUCUUUAGUUCCACUGCCCACUUCAUUAAAAGUGCUUGGCUCCAGAGCAUGCUAUUAAGCAUUCUUCCCUCCUUCUAUCAUGUGGGUACUGGGGAUUAAACCUUCAUCUUGGGGUUUUUGUUUUUCAUACUGACUGUGUCUCUAGCAGCAGCUUCCCGAGUGCUGGGUUAAAGGCCUGUGAGACAUGCAGUGCAUGUAGCUUUAAGAUUUAGUUACAUGUGUGGUAUUGUACACCAGUGCUUGGAAGUGAACUCAGGUCUUCUGGAGAAGUUCAUACUCUUACCCACUGACCCAUCUCUACAGUCCAUCUUGUUUUUAGAAACAGGGUCUCUAGCCAGGCAGUGGCAGUGCAUGCCCUUAAUCCCUGCACUUAGGUGGCAGAGGCAGGAUUUCUGAGUUUGAAGCCAGCCUGGUCUACAGAGUGAGUUCCAGGGCUACACAAAGAAACCCUAUCUCCAAAAAAAAAAAAUC
rnacentral:lncRNA from 1 species